rnacentral:rRNA from 1 species
GACGAACGCUGGCGGCGUGCUUAACACAUGCAAGUCGAACGGAAAGGCCUGCUUUCCCUUGUGGAUUGCGGGUACUCGAGUGGCGAACGGGUGAGUAACACGUGAGUGAUCUGCCCCCAACUUGGGUAUAAGCCUGGGAAACUGGGUCUAAUUCCCGAUAGGACUGCAGGGUGGUGCCUGUGGUGGAAAACGAUUUUCUAGUGGUUGGGGAUGAGCUCGCGGCCUAUCAGCUUGUUGGUGGGGUAAUGGCCUACCAAGGCGGCGACGGGUAGCCGGCCUGAGAGGGUGGACGGCCACAUUGGGACUGAGAUACGGCCCAGACUCCUACGGGAGGCAGCAGUGGGGAAUACUGCACCAUGGGCGGAAGCCUGAUGCAGCGACGCCGAGUGGGGGAUGACGGACUUCGGGUUGUAAACUCCUUCCGACAGCGAGGAAGCCACAUGGUUGGAAGGGUGGUGACGGUAGUGGUAGAAGAAGCACCGGCUAACUACGUG